CAACCCCUAUACUUAGUUACCAGCGAAUAAUGUCGGGGACUCUAAGUAGACUGCCGAUGACAAAUCGGAGGAAGGUGGGGAUGACGUCAAAUCAUCAUGCCCUUUAUGUCCUGGGCUACACACGUGCUACAAUGGUUGGUACAGAGGGCAGCUAUAUAGUGAUAUAAUGCAAAACUCGAAAGCCAAUCCCAGUUCGGAUUGUAGGCUGCAACUCGCCUACAUGAAGUCGGAGUUGCUAGUAAUCGCGGAUCAGAAUGUCGCGGUGAAUGCGUUCCCGGGUCUUGUACACACCGCCCGUCACACCAUGGGAGUUGAUAAUACCCGAAGCCUGUGACCUAAUUGAGGAGCAGUCGAAGGUAGGAUUGAUGACUGGGGUGAAGUCGUAACAAGGUAGCCGUAUCGGAAGGUGCGGCUGGAUCACCUCCUUUCUAAGGA
rnacentral:rRNA from 1 species